rnacentral:rRNA from 1 species
UACGUAGGGUGCGAGCGUUACUCGGAAUUACUGGGCGUAAAGCGUGCGCAGGCGGUUUUGUAAGCCAGAUGUGAAAGCCCCGGGCUCAACCUGGGAAUGGCAUUUGGGACUGCAAGGCUGGAGUUUGGCAGAAGAGACUGGAAUUCCCGGUGUAGCAGUGAAAUGCGUAGAUAUCGGGAGGAAUACCGAUGGCGAAGGCAGGUCUCUGGGCUAUAACUGACGCUCAUGCACGAAAGCGUGGGGAGCAAACAGG